AUUGAACGCUGGCGGCAUGCUUUACACAUGCAAGUCGAACGGUAACAGGCCGCAAGGUGCUGACGAGUGGCGAACGGGUGAGUAAUGCAUCGGAACGUGCCCAGUCGUGGGGGAUAACGCAGCGAAAGCUGCGCUAAUACCGCAUACGAUCUAUGGAUGAAAGCGGGGGACCGUAAGGCCUCGCUCGAUGGGAGCGGCCGAUGUCAGAUUAGGUAGUUGGUGGGGUAAAGGCUCACCAAGCCAACGAUCUGUAGCUGGUCUGAGAGGACGACCAGUCACACUGGGACUGACACACGGCCCAGAGGCCUGCGGGAGGCUGCUGCGGGUAAUUGUGGACAAUGGGCACAAUGCUGUUCCAGCAAGGCCGCUUGCAGGAAGAAGGCCUUAGGGUUGUAUACUGCUUUUGUACGGAACGAAACGGUCCUCGUUAAUACCUGGGGCUAAUGACGGUACCGUAAGUAUAUGCCCCGGCUAACUACGUGCCGGCCGGCGCGGUAAAAC
rnacentral:rRNA from 1 species